rnacentral:rRNA from 1 species
AUGAACGCUAGCGGCAGGCUUAACACAUGCAAGUCGAGGGGCAUCGAGAGAGUAGCAAUACUUUGUCGGCGACCGGCGGACGGGUGCGUAACGCGUAUGCAACCUACCUUAUACAGGGGGAUAACCUUUCGAAAGGGAGACUAAUACCGCAUAACAUUACUUUGAGGCAUCUUGAGGUAAUUAAAUCUUCGGAGGUAUAAGAUGGGCAUGCGUAGCAUUAGCUAGAUGGUGCGGUAACGGCGUACCAUGGCGACGAUGCUUAGGGGUUCUGAGAGGAAGGUCCCCCACACUGGUACUGAGAUACGGACCAGACUCCUACGGGAGGCAGCAGUGAGGAAUAUUGGUCAAUGGUCGGAAGACUGAACCAGCCAUGCCGCGUGCAGGAAGAAUGUCUUAUGGAUUGUAAACUGCUUUUGUAUGGGAAUAAUAAUAGCUUUGCGAAGUUAGAUGCAUGUACCAUACGAAUAAGGAUCGGCUAACUCCGUG